rnacentral:lncRNA from 1 species
GUUCGGUAAACAGGAAGUUGUCGAGUGAUGAAUCUGAAAACGCAUCACACGGUAUAGCUGACUUAUAUAAAUCCUGAAACCAAAUUUCAGAAAUCCUUGUAUUGUAGUUCCUGAGAAAAAUGUGACGAAAAUUUUCAACUUGGCUAUCAUGUGUAAAUCAGACAAGUGUUCGGUAAACAGGAAGUUGUCAAGUGAUGAAUCUGAAAACGCAUCACACGGUAUGGCUGACAUAUAUAAAUGUUGAUACCAAAUUACAGAAAGGGUGGAUGUGUAGUUCCUGAGAAAAAUGUGACGAAAGUUUCAUGGGACGGACUGACUGACGGACUGAUGGACGGACGGACUGAUGGACGGACUGACGGACGGACUGACGGACUGACAGACAGAGGUAAAACAGUAUACCCCCCCUUUUUUAAAGCGGGGGUAUAAUUAGAAUUGUCAGUG